GCCAAGAUUUCUGGAAUGGAUCAUGGCUGAAAUCUAUACGGCCUUUGGAUUGGACUGCGGCCGAUCAGGCUGUUGGUGAGGUAAUGGCCCACCAAACCUAUAACCGGUACGGGCUUUGAGAGAAGGAGCCCGGAGAUGGGCACUGAGACAAGGGCCCAGGCCCUAUGGGGCGCAGCAGGCGCGAAACCUCUGCAAUAGGCGAAAGCUUGACAGGGUUACUCUGAGUGAUGUCCGUUAAGGGCAUCUUUUGACACCUCUAAAAAUGGUGCAGAAUAAGGGGUGGGCAAGUCUGGUGUCAGCCGCCGCGGUAAUACCAGCACCCCGAGUGGUCGGGACGAUUAUUGGGCCUAAAGCAUCCGUAGCUUGUUCUGCAAGUCUUCCGUUAAAUCCACCUGCUCAACAGAUGGGCUGCGGAGGAUACUACAGGGCUAGGAGGCGGGAGAGGCAAGCGGUACUCAGUGGGUAGGGGUAAAAUCCACUGAUCCACUGAAGA
rnacentral:rRNA from 1 species